GACGGAGGGGGCAAGCGUUGUCCGGAAUCACUGGGCGGAAAGCGCGUGUGGGCGGUCGUGUGCGUCGGUGCUGCAAGCGCCCGGCUUAACCGGGCGAGGCGUGCCGAUACGAUGCGACUGGAGGCAGGCAGAGGGCGGCGGAAUUCCGGGUGUAGCGGGGAAAUGCGUAGAGCUCCGGAGGAACGCCGGUGGGGUAGCCGGCCGCCUGGGCCUGACCUGACGCUGAGACGCGACAGCGUGGGGAGCAAAUCGG
rnacentral:rRNA from 1 species